GAGCUAAGUCUGGUUCGGCCUAGAUCGUCUUAGAUCAAGCUUUGAAGUUUGGAUUAAUCUGGUGCGUCUGAUCAGAUUCCAGAUUGAAUCAGGGACGUCGAAAUCUUCAACUCGUGAUCUUUCACUCCACACUCAAAAUCGUCGAGCAAGGAGGAUAUGAGGAUGAUCAGGGGGAGGAGGAGAUCACGAAAAUGGGAAGGAUCGGCCCAUGCAUCGCCGGAAAAAUGGUUUUCCGGCCGGGUCCGAAUCGACUAGUCUGGGCUCCUUCGAUCCGCGUCUGGGGGCAGCGGCGGGGCGAGAUGACUUCACCAGGCGACAGGGCGGCUUGGUCUGAGUGCGGGGAGGGCCGGGUCGUGGCCGGAGGAUGAGCGACGGCGCCGCUGGGGCCUGGUCGGGUCGGCG
rnacentral:lncRNA from 1 species